GCAACCUUACCUUGCCAUUCACACAAGAAGGGCCCUGUGCCCGUGCCCCGUGCCCUGGGAGACGGGGCCGCCACGUGACCCGACGAGCGUUUCUCCACCACACGUGCUGCAGCGGCCUUCGCUCCAUCCUCACGCUGGACGCUGCCUUCUGAGUCUCGGGGGCCGGCCCCGCACGCACCAGGAGGACAGCUGGCCUUCACCCGGAAGACACUGACGCCUGGGCACGCGUUUCUUCUCAGGUGGCCACUUUCCUCGGCUCUGAGCAUCUUUCUCUGGUCCAGAUUCCAAACUUCUGACCAUUCGCUCAGGGACUGAGAUAAAAUGAACUUUAUAAUGUAUUGGAUCAGACGCCCGCUGACAGCGCCAGGGUCCCCACCCUCCAGCAAGUCUCCCCGGACAGCCUUGGGCCACACGCUGUCCCCUGGCGGACGGAGGUCACGGAAGAGUUCCUGGCUCUCCAGGUGCCUGUAACAGCCCAGGACUCAUAACUAAUUCAGAAGACACUGGCCCAGUUGCCCGAGUCAGCUCAGGGACAGCACCUCCUGGAAAAAGAUGACCUCACUCAACCGCUGGAGCUUCUUUGCAGAGAGAUGACGUGGGAGACGGUGAUCCUCCCAGCAAACGGGAGCGCUUGUCGAGGCAAGUGAACCCAGGACAGCCAAACCUGCCCUGUGGGUGGAGAAAGGCUUACGCUGAGGUACCGGACAGCCAGGGAGAGCCGCCUGAGACCAAGCUCGAGCGCACGGAGUCCCUUGAAAGCCUCUUUCAGAUGUAAGGCGAGGACAGAUUGUUUGAAUAAAACUUG